GCUGCAGAGGCUGAUGGGGUAACGGAGACGGCACUGCCUCAGGCGACUGCACCAUGGUGAUGGGCCGCGGUGGAACUAGGCUGGCAAUGGCGGCGUGGUCCAUCUUUCCGGCCGCUGCUGUGAUUGCAUUCCUCCUGUUAGACCUCCCAAGAGUCUCACAGGCCCAGACCUUCUCCUUCCCCUUCCGGCAGCCGGAGACGUGCGGCCACAACCAGUACUUCGAUAUCUCCGCGCUCUCCUGUGUUCCUUGUGGAGCCAACCAGAGGCGGGACUCCCUAGGAACUUCAUGUGUGUGUGUACCAGGAUUUCAGAUGAUCUCCAAUAAUGGAGGACCUGAUAUUAUUUGUAAAAAGUGCCCAGAAAAUAUGAAAGGUGUUACUGAAGAUGGCUGGAACUGCAUUUCUUGCCCUGGUGGUUUAACGGCAGAAGGAAAAUGCCACUGUCCCACUGGCCAUAUUUUAGUGGAAAGAAAUGUUAAUGGAACAUUGUUGUCUCAAGCAACUUGUAAGCUCUGUGAUGAAAGUGAAGACUCUUUCACGGUAGCAAACACUUUAGGAAACAGGUGUAUCCCUUGUGAACCAACAUUCAUCAGUACCAACAGAUCCUGUACAUGUUCAGAACCUAACAUUUUAACCGGGGGAUUAUGUUUCAGCAGCACAGCGAAUUUUCCUCCCCGUAUAAUUUCAGCUGCCCGUUACGGAGAACUUGGCAUGUCUCUUACUUCAGAAUGGUUUGCAAAGUAUUUGCAAUCAUCAGCAGCUGCUUGUUGGGUGUAUGCCAAUCUAACAUCUUGCCAAGCUCUCGGAAAUAUGUGUGUGAUGAACAUGAAUUCUUAUGACUCUGUCACUUUUGAUGCAUGUCGACUGUUUCAGUUUAUCUUUGAAAACACUGCUAGACGGCAUACAGUUCAUUCAAUUUCUUUUUGGAGACAGAAUCUUCCAUGGCUGUUCUAUGGAGACCAACUAGGAUUAGCUCCUCAAGUACUCAGGACUACACCUCUUCCUACAAAUUUCAUUUUUAAAGGGCAAAAUCAGAAUUCAAAACUGAAGUUUAUUGCUGCUUCCUAUGAUGUAAGAGGAAAUUUUCUCAAGUGGCAAACUUUAGAAGGAGGUGUUUUACAGCUCUGUCCAGACACAGAAACAAGACUAAAUGCUGCUUAUUGUUUUGGAACAACCUAUCAACAAAAUUGUGAAAUUCCUCUCUCUAAGAUCUUAAAUGACUUUCCCACUCCUAUAUUUUAUGAUGUAUAUGUUGAAUAUACCAAUGAAAAUCAACACCAGUAUAUUUGGGCUGUGCCUGUGUUAAACCUAAAUCUUCAACACAAUAAUAUAUUUGUGAACCGAGACAGUGCCUCUAGCAAGUGGCUUUUGACUCGGCGCAUUUUCUUAGUGGAUGCACUAAGUGGACAAGAAAAUGACAUAGGAAGUCAGCCAAGAUUAAUUCGAAUUGCUACCCAAAUAUCACUGAGCAUCCACCUUGUACCCAAUACAGAAAAUGGAAACAUCUAUCCUCCCUUAAUUACCAUUGCCUACAGUGAUAUUGAUAUCAAAGAUAUUAACAGCCAGUCUGUGAAGGUUUCUUUCUCAGUCAAAUACGCAAUGAAUCAAGAGGAGGCACAAGUCCGGACAGAUAUCGCUUUGGGUGUAUUGGGUGGGCUAGCUGUUUUAUCAUCUCUUCUGAAGACAGCAGGGUGGAAGAGGCGGAUUGGGAGUCCCAUGAUUGACUUACAGACAGUUAUGAAAUUCUUGGUAUACUAUGCUGGUGAUCUAGCCAAUGUUUUCUUUAUCGUCACUGUGGGAACAGGUCUUUAUUGGCUAAUUUUCUUCAAAGCACAGAAGUUGGCUUUUGUUUUGCUGCCAGGGCCGGCUCAGGAAGAGCGUCUCGUUACUUACGUGGGAUGUGCUUUUGCUCUAAAGGCUCUGCAAUUUAUGCAUAAGCUCAUAUCCCAGAUUACCAUAGAUAUAUUCUUUAUUGACUGGGAGCGACCUAAAAGAAGCAUUAUUAAAGCUGUUGAAGGUGAGGGCGGUGUUCGGAGUGCUGCUGUUCCUGUAAGCAUAUGGAGAACAUAUUUUGUAGCAAAUGAAUGGAAUGAAAUUCAGACUGUGAGAAAAAUUAACCCACUCUUUCAAGUACUUACUGUCCUCUUCUUUUUGGAGGUUGUGGGAUUCAAGAACUUAGCAUUGAUGGACUUAUCCUCUAGUCUUUCCAGAAGCUCUGCUAGCUACAUAGCUCCUUACAGCCUCAUUUUGAGAUAUGCAGUAUCUGCUGUUCUUUGGCUAGUCAUUGGAAUUAUACAGAUUGUGUUCUUUGCUGUCUUUUAUGAGAGAUUUAUAGAAGAUAAAAUUCGACAGUUUGUUGAUUUAUGCUGUAUGAGCAAUAUAUCAGUGUUUCUAUUAUCCCACAAAUGUUUUGGCUAUUACAUUCAUGGUAGAUCAGUACAUGGGCAUGCGGAUACUAAUAUGGAAGAGAUGAAUAUGAAUCUUAAAAGAGAAGCGGAGAAUUUGUGUAGCCAGAGAGGUUUGGUACCCAACACAGAUGGCCAAACUUUUCAAAUUGCAGUUUCUAGCCAGAUGAGACAACACUAUGACAGAAUCCAUGAGACACUUACAAGGAAAAAUGGCCCUGCCUUGAGUUCAUCAGCAAGUACUUUUGAGCAGAGCAUAAAAGCAUAUCAUACUAUGAAUAAAUUCCUUGGCUCUUUCAUUGAUCAUGUGCAUAAAGAAAUGGACUACAUUAUAAAAGAUAAAUUGCUUCUUGAAAGAAUUCUUGGAAUGGAAUUCAUGGAACCGGUGGAAAAAAGCAUCUUUUACAAUGAUGAAGGUUAUUCUUUCAGCAGUGUUCUGUAUUAUGGAAAUGAAGCCACGCUUCUUAUUUAUGAUCUGCUGUUCUUCUCUGUUGUGGAUUUGGUUAACCAAGAUUUUCUUCUAGCAGCCUUCCUUACAUACCUACAACAAGAGAUUUUUAGAUUUAUCCGUAAUACAGUUGGACAGAAGAAUUUAGCAUCCAAAACAUUGGUGGACCAGAGAUUUCUGAUUUAAUUUGCUGAAUAGAUAACUAAGACUCAAUAUAAUCAUGGCAAAAAAGGGUUAUGAUUAUAGGUGAACAAGGCAGAAGCUUUUAUUUAGAGGUACAGCAAGAGGACAGAGCUCCUGGCUCAGGCCAGGAGGGAACAAGAGAGUCCCCUCUUCAAUGUACUCUUUAAUAAUCCUUUUCAUUGUAUACCAUGUACUUGAAAGGUACCUUAUACUUCAAGUAUAAUAAUCAUCAACCUCCAAACUGAUAUUUCUUAUUGUCUUCUAUGUUAAUGCUGUAUAAUACUUAAAUAUAAUGCUAUGUAAAUAUUGUUUAUAUUUUUUUUCUUGAUUUUUUAUUUUGUAAAUAUGUACAUUUUUUAAUUGAAAAUAUAGAAUAAGACAUUUGGUGUUUCUGUUUCCUAUUGGAUUAAUCUCUAUUUCAUGAAAUAGCACUUCGGAAUGAAUACAUAUAGCACCAUUGAGGCAGGGUCUCCAAACACUACCAAAGUUGAAUCUUGUCAUUUUCCCUGAAUCUUGAGGAUUGACUGAAGAGAAAGAGGGAAAGCUAGUAAGUUGACUAUUCAAAACUUCAGUUUCUGAAGGGUCAUAGUACAGGAAUGCCUUUAUAAAAGCUGCGAAGACAGAUAAAUGUACCAACAUGGAUUUUUAAAACCACCUGCUCAGAAGCAUAUGGAAGACAUUCAGCUCUCAUUCUGCAAAUGAGAAGUUAAUACUAAUGUGAAUGUUUUAAAAUGAAAAUUUUGAAAAAUGAGGUCAGUUGGCUCACCUAAUAAAUUAAAACAGAAAAGACAUUAAAAGAAUCAUUCUACACUACUUUUGCAUAAUAUUUUUUAUUUUGGUUAGAGACAUAAAAAUGUAUAUUGAUUUUCAUACAGUGUUGACUCAAUUUAAUUUUUAUGCCACAAUUUAAAUUUUAUGAUCAUGUACCUAAUUUUCCACAAGAUCUGUAAACUUUCAUCUAUUUCUGUAGCACCAAUUCAUUGUACUUUGCAUCUUAUAACCCUAAUUUUACUGACUACCUAGAAAUGUUUGAGAAGUCUCAUCAUCAUUUCAUAAUGAAACAAACUCUAGGUUUACCUAGAUAUUCUAUAUAAGUGCUGUGUCCUCCUUAGAAGUGCACAGGCCUCCAAAAUAAUUCUGCAGAUCAUUCUCUGUGUUAUGAGCUGCUUAUAUUUACUUACUUCCCUGGCACUGCUGUCCUAUUAAACUACCUUUUGAGAAGGCUCUUCUAGUUACAUAGAUUGAGAAGCAUUCAAAAGUACCAUUAAUUCAGUGAUUGUAAGCAUAAAAAAAGUAUCCUUUUUAUGGUCUGUAAAUACUGACAAAAGCUGAGGAGAAAUAAAAGUACGUUAAGGAGCUGUGUGACUUAAUGGAAAGUGCUCCAGAUUUAGUAACAGAAGCCCUGGAUUCAAAUUAAAAUUUGCCCAUCACCUACCAGCUUUGGAACCUUAAACCAAGUUAUUUGGCAUCUUUGAAAUUUCAUUCUGCAUCUUUGCAAUGGAAUCAAUACCCUUUGUUUACCACUUGUAAAGAUUAAUUCAUUAAGAUAAGACUUAUCACAAUGAAUAAACUGUGAACACUGGAAUUUUUAUAGUUUUUGGAUUGAACUAUCUGCCUCCAAAUAUAUUUUGUAUCUUGCUAAUAAACAAACUC